rnacentral:rRNA from 1 species
UUAAGUGACUAAGCGUACACGGUGGAUGCCUGGGCAGUCAGAGGCGAUGAAGGACGUACUAACUUGCGAUAAGCGCAGAUAAGGCAGUAAGAGCCGUUUGAGUCUGCGAUUUCCGAAUGGGGAAACCCAACUGCAUAAGCAGUUACUGUUAACUGAAUACAUAGGUUAACAGAGCAAACCGGGGGAACUGAAACAUCUAAGUACCCCGAGGAGAAGAAAUCAACCGAGAUUCCGGUAGUAGCGGCGAGCGAACCUGGAUUAGCCCUUAAGCACUCGGUGAAGUAGGUGAACAAGCUGGAAAGCUUGGCGAUACAGGGUGAUAGCCCCGUAACCGACGCUUCAUCGAGCGUGAAAUCGAGUAGGGCGGGACACGUGAUAUCCUGUCUGAAUAUGGGGGGACCAUCCUCCAAGGCUAAAUACUCCUGACUGACCGAUAGUGAACCAGUACCGUGAGGGAAAGGCGAAAAGAACCCCUGUGAGGGGAGUGAAAUAGAACCUGAAACCGUGUACGUACAAGCAGUAGGAGCACCUUCGUGGUGUGACUGCGUACCUUUUGUAUAAUGGGUCAGCGACUUAUAUUCAGUGGCAAGGUUAACCGUAUAGGGGAGCCGUAGCGAAAGCGAGUCUUAACUGGGCGCUCAGUCUCUGGAUAUAGACCCGAAACCGGGUGAUCUAGCCAUGGGCAGGUUGAAGGUUGAGUAACAUCAACUGGAGGACCGAACCGACUAAUGUUGAAAAAUUAGCGGAUGACUUGUGGCUAGGGGUGAAAGGCCAAUCAAACUCGGAGAUAGCUGGUUCUCCCCGAAAGCUAUUUAGGUAGCGCCUCGGACGAAUACUACUGGGGGUAGAGCACUGUUAAGGCUAGGGGGUCAUCCCGACUUACCAACCCUUUGCAAACUCCGAAUACCAGUAAGUACUAUCCGGGAGACACACGGCGGGUGCUAACGUCCGUCGUGGAGAGGGAAACAACCCAGACCGCCAGCUAAGGUCCCAAAGUAUUGCUAAGUGGGAAACGAUGUGGGAAGGCUCAGACAGCUAGGAUGUUGGCUUAGAAGCAGCCAUCAUUUAAAGAAAGCGUAAUAGCUCACUAGUCGAGUCGGCCUGCGCGGAAGAUGUAACGGGGCUAAGCAAUACACCGAAGCUGCGGCAAUGUCUUUUAGACAUUGGGUAGGGGAGCGUUCUGUAAGCCGUUGAAGGUGAAUCGUAAGGUUUGCUGGAGGUAUCAGAAGUGCGAAUGCUGACAUGAGUAACGACAAAGGGGGUGAAAAACCUCCUCGCCGGAAGACCAAGGGUUCCUGUCCAACGUUAAUCGGGGCAGGGUGAGUCGACCCCUAAGGUGAGGCCGAAAGGCGUAAUCGAUGGGAAACGGGUUAAUAUUCCCGUACUUCUGACUAUUGCGAUGGGGGGACGGAGAAGGCUAGGUGGGCCAGGCGACGGUUGUCCUGGUUCAAGUGCGUAGGCUUGAGAGUUAGGUAAAUCCGGCUCUCUCUAAGGCUGAGACACGACGUCGAGCUACUACGGUAGUGAAGUCAUUGAUGCCAUGCUUCCAGGAAAAGCCUCUAAGCUUCAGAUAGUCAGGAAUCGUACCCCAAACCGACACAGGUGGUCGGGUAGAGAAUACCAAGGCGCUUGAGAGAACUCGGGUGAAGGAACUAGGCAAAAUGGUACCGUAACUUCGGGAGAAGGUACGCUCUUGAUGGUGAAGUCCCUCGCGGAUGGAGCUGACGAGAGUCGCAGAUACCAGGUGGCUGCAACUGUUUAUUAAAAACACAGCACUGUGCAAAAUCGCAAGAUGACGUAUACGGUGUGACGCCUGCCCGGUGCCGGAAGGUUAAUUGAUGGGGUUAGCGCAAGCGAAGCUCUUGAUCGAAGCCCCGGUAAACGGCGGCCGUAACUAUAACGGUCCUAAGGUAGCGAAAUUCCUUGUCGGGUAAGUUCCGACCUGCACGAAUGGCGUAAUGAUGGCCACGCUGUCUCCACCCGAGACUCAGUGAAAUUGAAAUCGCUGUGAAGAUGCAGUGUACCCGCGGCUAGACGGAAAGACCCCGUGAACCUUUACUACAGCUUGGCACUGAACAUUGAACCUACAUGUGUAGGAUAGGUGGGAGGCUAUGAAGACGUGACGCCAGUUGCGUUGGAGCCGUCCUUGAAAUACCACCCUUGUAUGUUUGAUGUUCUAACUUAGACCCAUUAUCUGGGUUGAGGACAGUGCCUGGUGGGUAGUUUGACUGGGGCGGUCUCCUCCCAAAGAGUAACGGAGGAGCACGAAGG